rnacentral:tRNA from 1 species
AAAGAUGUAGUUUAAUGGUAAAAUGUUGAUCUCCAAAAUCAAUGAUAUAGGUUCAAUUCCUAUCAUCUUUA